rnacentral:tRNA from 1 species
GGCUCCGUAGCUCAGCCGGAUUAGAGCAGCCGCCUUCUAAGCGGCAGGUCGCAGGUUCGAGCCCUGCCGGAGUCGCCA